UCCCAGAUGAACAGGAACUGAACAGCUGG
rnacentral:piRNA from 1 species